rnacentral:rRNA from 1 species
AUUGAACGCUGGCGGCAGGCUUAACACAUGCAAGUCGAGCGGAGCGAGGGUGCUUGCACCUUAGCUUAGCGGCGGACGGGUGAGUAAUGCUUAGGAAUCUGCCUAUUAGUGGGGGACAACAUUCCGAAAGGAAUGCUAAUACCGCAUACGCCCUGCGGGGGAAAGCAGGGGAUCUUCGGACCUCGCGCUAAUAGAUGAGCCUAAGUCGGAUUAGCUAGUGGGUGGGGUAAAGGCCUACCAAGGCGACGAUCUGUAGCGGGUCUGAGAGGAUGAUCCGCCACACUGGGACUGAGACACGGCCCAGACUCCUACGGGAGGCAGCAGUGGGGAAUAUUGGACAAUGGGCGGAAGCCUGAUCCAGCCAUGCCGCGUGUGUGAAGAAGGCCUUUUGGUUGUAAAGCACUUUAAGCGAGGAGGAGGCUACUUAGAUUAAUACUCUGGGAUAGUGGACGUUACUCGCAGAAUAAGCACCGGCUAACUCUGUGCCAGCCGCCGCGGUAA